GGGCAUAUGGUGUAGCUGGUUAUCACGCUCGCUUAGCAUCGUGUGGCACAAUCGAACGUUUUCUGCGAGAGGUGUCCGGUUCAACUCCGGAUAUGUCCA